rnacentral:rRNA from 1 species
AUUGAACGCUGGCGGCAGGCCUAAUACAUGCAAGUCGAACGGUAACAUAAAAGAAGCUUGCUUCUUUUGAUGACGAGUGGCGGACGGGUGAGUAAUAUUUGGGAAACUACCUGAUAGAGGGGGACAACAGUUGGAAACGACUGCUAAUACCGCAUAUAGCCUGAGGGUGAAAGCAGCAAUGCGCUAUCAGAUGUGCCCAAACGGGAUUAGCUAGUAGGUGAGGUAAAGGCUCACCUAGGCGACGAUCUCUAGCUGGUCUGAGAGGAUGAUCAGCCACAUUGGGACUGAGACACGGCCCAGACUCCUACGGGAGGCAGCAGUAGGGAAUAUUGCACAAUGGAGGAAACUCUGAUGCAGCCAUGCCCGCGUGUGUGAAGAAGGCCUUCGGGUUGUAAAGCACUUUCGGA